AUCCGGUUACAUUGUAAGUGUCACA
rnacentral:siRNA from 1 species